rnacentral:lncRNA from 1 species
GAGUUUUUUCUAGUGAUUUUAUAUUAGCCUCGUGCUCAGAGGAGGGGGGGCAGGUUUUUAUUUUUAUUGAACAUUUGCUGAAUACAAAAAUGGAACAUUUAUAACAAUACAACAUCAGAAUACAACACAAUUCCAAAUGCAGAAUAAAAUUGUUUCAACCUGAUGAUAACCUUAACUGUUAAGAACAAAAUUAUAAGUACUAUUCAUUUCUAAAACAAAGUGGGGUUCAAUAAUAACCAAAUGAGGUGACCGCCUCGUGCGCGUAAAGACGCGCGUCAGUAUCGCCCUCAUCAGUUUCCGGAGCUCGCGCCGGGGAGUGAGCAGCUUCACGCGCGCGGAUCAAAUCGAUUAGAUGUGAUCUUUGCGCCGUCUGGGUCCGGAAACCGUCCCUGCAGCCGCUCCUCGGACUCUCCGACAUACAGGGACUCCCCCCGGAAGCUGUUUUUCUGGAGAACAAAGUUUGGGAGUUGAGGUGAUCGUGGAGCAGCCCAGUUCAGAGGAGGACGCGCGUGUUUCAAUUCUCCUCUUAGAAAGAUCUCCCAUUCAUGAACAGAGACAUUCAGCGUCCCGUCUCCCUGAGGAUGACCCCGUGUUUCCCUGCAGGAUCCAGCUCUGUCUGAUCUUCUUCCUGUAA